rnacentral:rRNA from 1 species
CGCGUAGGCGGUUUGCACAGUCAGGCGUGAAAUUCCCGGGCUUAACCCGGGGGCUGCGUUUGAUACUCGCAGACUAGAGGAUGGAAGAGGGUCGUGGAAUUCCCAGUGUAGAGGUGAAAUUCGUAGAUAUUGGGAAGAACACCGGUGGCGAAGGCGGCGACCUGGUCCAUUACUGACGCUGAGGCGCGACAGCGUGGGGAGCAAACA